rnacentral:piRNA from 1 species
GGUCAUGACAAAUGGCUGGAAUCAGGA